AGCCCGCUACCGAAACUUAAAUGAAUUGACGGGGCCCGCACAAGCGGAGGAGCAUGUGGUUUAAUUCGAUGAUACGCGAGGAACCUUACCUGGGCUCGAACGUAAGAUGACUGUAGGUGAAAGCUUACAUCUCUUCGGAGCAUUUUACGAGGUGCUGCAUGGUUGUCGUCAGCUCGUGCCGUGAGGUGUCGGGUUAAGUCCCAUAACGAGCGCAACCCUACCUUUAGUUGCCAUCAGGUAAUGCUGGGGACUCUAAAGGAACUGCCUACGCAAGUAGUGAGGAAGGCGGGGAUGACGUCAAAUCAGCACGGCCCUUACGUCCAGGGCUACACACGUGCUACAAUGGCCGAUACAGAGGGCAGCUACCUGGUGACAGGAUGCAAAUCUCCAAAGUCGGUCUCAGUUCGGAUCGGAGUCUGCAACCCGACUCCAUGAAGUUGGAAUCGCUAGUAAUCGUGGAUCAGCAUGCCACGGUGAAUACGUUCCCGGGCCUU
rnacentral:rRNA from 1 species